rnacentral:rRNA from 1 species
CCUACGGGUGGCUGCAGUCGAGAAUCAUUCGCAAUGGGCGAAAGCCUGACGAUGCGACGCCGUGUGAGCGAAGAAGGCCUUAGGGUCGUAAAGCUCUUUCGCCUGGGAACAAGAUGAGCUGGCUAAUAUCCAGUGAUUUUGAGCGUACCAGGUAAAGAAGCACCGGCUAACUCCGUGCCAGCAGCUGCGGUAAUACGGAGGGUGCAAGCAUUAAUCGGAUUUAUUGGGCGUAAAGGGCGCGUAGGCGGGGAUGUAAGUCAGACGUGAAAUCCCGG